GUCUGGUUGGCUCAGUUGGUAGAGCGUCGGUCUCAUAAUAUGACUUUCACACAGUGGAAGAUAUCCGAAGAUCGCGAGUUCGAUCCUCGCACCGGACA
rfam:Pyronema omphalodes CBS 100304, CBS100304, WGS project CATG01000000 data, contig: Pcon_v1_contig759